GUUGAUCUUCAUCAUGAACAUAUACGAAAAGGUAGUUUAUAUCAUUGAAAACGAAAGCAGGAAGGGAAAGGUAGGGAAUCGAAUUAAUCAAAGAUCUGAGAGAUUCAAAAGGACUAGGAUUAUGCGAAGUUACUACGACAAGGUGAGCAACGGGAUGAGAAAAAGUUUCAAAAGGAGUAAUAGGUAUCCCAGUUAGUAACUGUCGCACAUAGACAGGAAGUGGCAUUUGGUAAUUCCCUUCAUGAGCCAAUGUCCAAGCCCAUCGUUCAACGUUUUUAUAAUGAACGCCAAAGGAAUAAUC